UACCGCACACGCAUACCACACACACAUACCACACACGCAUACCACACACACAGGCACACACGCAUACCGCACACGCAUACCACACACACACGCAUACCACACACGCAUACCACACACGCAUACCACACGCAUACCACACGCAUACCACACACACGCAUACCACACACACGUGUGCACACUAACUUGUGGCUAUUAGUUUCCUCCUAACCUUGGUGUAUAUUACUUUUUGUUGAGAAUCACUAUUAAAGUCCCUGUCACAUUAACUGGGGGAUGAAGAGACGGGAGAG
ensembl:lncRNA